rnacentral:rRNA from 1 species
AUUGAACGCUGGCGGCAUGCUUUACACAUGCAAGUCGAACGGCAGCACGAAAGAGCUUGCUCUUUUGGUGGCGAGUGGCGAACGGGUGAGUAAUGCAUCGGAACGUACCGAGUAAUGGGGGAUAACUGUCCGAAAGGAUAGCUAAUACCGCAUACGCUUUGAGAAGGAAAGUGGGGGCUCUUCGGACCUCACGUUAUUCGAGCGGCCGAUGUCUGAUUAGCUAGUUGGUGGGGUAAAGGCCUACCAAGGCGACGAUCAGUAGCGGGUCUGAGAGGAUGAUCCGCCACACUGGGACUGAGACACGGCCCAGACUCCUACGGGAGGCAGCAGUGGGGAAUUUUGGACAAUGGGCGCAAGCCUGAUCCAGCCAUGCCGCGUGUCUGAAGAAGGCCUUCGGGUUGUAAAGGACUUUUGUUAGGGAAGAAAAGGAUAGUGUUAAUACCAUUAUCUGCUGACGGUACCUAAAGAAUAAGCACCGGAUAACUACGUG